UACGGGGGGUGCGAGCGUUGUCCGGAAUCACUGGGCGUAAAGGGCGCGUAGGUGGUUUGAUAAGGGUGUGGUGAAAGUCCGGAGCUCAACUCCGGAUCUGCCGUGCCGACUGUCAAACUCGAGGGCUGUAGAGGCAGACGGAAUUCCGGGUGUAGCGGUGGAAUGCGCAGAUAUCAGGAGGAACACCGGUGGCGAAGGCGGUUCUCUGGGCAUUACCUGACGCUGAGGAGCGAAAGCAUGGGGAGCGAACAGG
rnacentral:rRNA from 1 species